CUAUCUGCAUGAGACGCAAAACUGAAAUCACAAAGUAAAACAGAACAUACAAGGCAUUUAUUUGGGUCAACGAUGAAGACCUUAAUUGCAGCUCUGGUCAUAGUUUUUGGAAUUUUCGGUGGCACUAAAGGUAAUUCUACACUUCCAAAUAUACCUUUAUAGUAAAAUUGUAAUUCUUUCUACAUUUCCACGCGUAUCGGAUAAUGCAAGCGUCAAAAUCACCCCAACGUUUAAUUUAACAAUUUCUCCAAACAAGUAAGUUUGUUCCGAUUUACGCCUGCCACAGUAGUCCAGUCAGAUCACUAUAAGUACAUGGUCUUAAUCAAAGUAAUCGCAAUAGAUUUUUUCAGUGGUAAAGUGUGAGAAAAGGUGUUCUGAUUAACAUAUUAAAAAUAAAAAAAAUCCCUUCGGUGGAACAUGGUAAAAAUCGAGUUUUUCUUACUUCUACCUAUAGAAAACUAUUGCGGACAAAAUGUUGAAAUUAUGUUUUUGCAAAUAUAACCUGCAUCAUCUGUUUAAGCUUUACAAUAAUGUAGGUUACAUUUGCCUAAAAAAGAUUUCAAAAUUUGAACAUUCUGUCCACAAUACUUUUAUAGGUAGAAUGGUGGUUUUCCAUGGUUUUUCACCAUGUUCCACCGAAGGAAUCUUUUUUUAUUUUUAGUAUGUUAAUAAGGACACCUUCCCUCACGUUUUACCUGUGAAAAGAUUCUAUUGCAAUUUAUUUGACCUCUGGUCACAGAUUGACUGGACUACAGUGCAUUUGGCCGUCGACUUUGUGUUAAAUAUAACUUUAAUCUUUAUAGUAAAUCGAAGACUUUUGAAAUAUUAAACGCCAAUUGCCUGGUAAUUUUUAACUGUAUUAUAAACAGUGCCACAAAGUAAAACAGAACACACAAGGCAUUUAUUUGGGUCAACGAUGAAGACCUUAAUUGCAGCUCUGCAUGGUCAUAAUUUUUGGAAUUCUCUGUGGCAUUAGCUUUAAUCUUUAUAGUAACUAAGUAUUUCGAGCGCUUUUGAAAUAUUAAACGCCAAUUGCAUGGUACUUUUUACAUGUAUCAUAAACAGUGGCUGUGCAUAAUUGCAUGCAAAGUAUUGAAUUGAAUAGUGACAAAACUGAUAUUGCAACCGAAAUAAAUGUUUUGAAAUUUCAUCAGAAUUUAUACAUCAGUGCUUACAAACAUCAUGGACUGGAAAAGCAUCAAGGGGCAAAAUUACACUGUUCCAUGACUGUACAAACCACGGACACAGUCCGCGUCUUCCAGUCCAUGUUUUGCAACAUGCCGAAAUCCCUUAUAAUGAGCAUGCAUGAAUGCGCCUAAUCAUGCAGUGAAUGCAGACUUGUAGCAUUAUUUUCAUCAAUUUUCACAUGUUUUCUCAUGAUCUGUUUUGAAUAUCGAUUAACGUGAUGAACUAUUUUCUGAGAUGUUGAUAUUAUUUUUUAAGCCCUUCUCUUAAUUUAGAUCUGUAACGACCUCUGUUCACGUUAGUAUACAAGUUUAGGUGGAAUUUUCCAGGCGCACCCUGAAGUCCACAAUUUCCGGCCAUGAAGCCAUACUUCCACUGACACAUUGUUUUAAGUUACAGAACACCUUUGAGUGUUAAUUUUGCCUAAAAUUUUUUUAUUGGUUUCCAUGAAAGCAUUAGACUAGUUCUACUAUCUGACAAAGUUUGAACGAAAAAUGUUAAAAACUCGCGGAGUUAUUUAAUAAAAUACAUUUCGCUGCAAUAAGAAAAACAUUGAAAAUGUAAUAUUCAAAUUCAAUUUUCUCCCGAAGAUUUUACGGGUAAUUACUGAUUUUCAAACGAGUUGUGCUCCUGCGGGUUUUGACCAAUUUUUCUCAAAUUUUCACAGGACAUAGCUAAAGACGUCAGUUUCAAAAUUGUGUUCGGCUUUUUCUUAGUUUUGAAUAUUUUAAUAAUAAAGAGCAAUUCACUCAAAUAAUUCAGAAAUAUAUUGCAGUCGUCAAAGAAAUCGCCAUAUCAGCGGAAUGACGAAAUAAACAAAAAUUUCCGGACACAAUUUUUUAGAACAACUAUUUUACUGUAUAAAAAUGAUAUUUUCAUAAAUAUAACUUAAAACCAGCAGGAGCACAACUCAAAAGCGUAACCGGUACCGCGAUUUAAGAUUUUCCUGAAUAAUUCUUAUAGCGCGCAGUAGCGAUUUUCCGCAAAACGCCAAAAAGGGUGUCCUGUAACCUUAACAGGUAUAUACACUAGGAACUUUUCCUGAGCCGCGAAACUGUCCGUAUAUUCUGUGGCACAAGAUGCAUGUGUUUAAACGCGGUUGAUUUAAAUAAAGACAAGGUGAACGAAGUUUAAUUUUUGAAAGACAUAAUAAUUAUUUGCACCUGCUGUUUAAAGGCUUGAAUCACCAACUGAAACAUUGUUGCAAUAAUAUUCUUAAUUCCUCUGUUGUCACAAAAAUCGUAUCGUAUAAAAUAUCAAGGGACCGGGCAUUAUUUAUGGCAGGUCGCACCGAAGAGAAAAUUUGGGUAAACUAAAUUUCCACUGAGUAAAAUUUGGGUAAAUAAACGAGGUUGGGUAAUAAAAAAUUAUUGUCAUUAGUUCACAGCAUGACUCACUCAAAUACUGAAGUCUAACAAGCAAUGUCAACAGUCAUAUAUCAUAUGUUAACGCAAAUACUGUAUGUAAAUCAAUCACGGGUCACUAUUUUGAUCAUUUUCCGAUUUGUCAUGGGGGAAAAUGGUAUCUCCAAAAAAGUAUAUUUGCAGACGACAUAAAACUUUAGACUGCAGAAACUUGUACAAGCAGUUAUCAAACUCAUGUCACAGAGGUGAUAAAGGAUAGGUGUAUAACAACUGAAUGGUGAGCUUUUGUAAAGUUCUCGGUCAGGGGUGGGUACGGUGUUUAUUUUUUGUUGAUAUUUGAGAUUGGGUCAAAUUUUUUAAAAGUCCAAUCAGCCAAAUUUUUACCAAGAAAAACCUUUGUUUUCGGUGCCAACCCCCACCAUGUCACAUGACACUAAUAUCGGAUAUAUCAAUGAAAUCAUUCAACUUUUUUGCGGAUCAAGUAGGACCAGGGCAUUUUUUAAGAAUUCGUCAGUGGGGGGGCCAUCUACAAAAAGGGACCAUACCAUACCGAGUGUGGAGCAAUGAUAGAUGGUUUGUUGGUAACAAAAAGUUUGGUGUGGUAUCGCAUUUAAUAGUAGGGGGGUGAGAGCAGGGCCUUAGGAAGCUCUUUUCGUUUGGGGGGGGGGGCUGAAAGCGAGGGCCGAAGGCCCGAGGAAAUUUUUAAAUUUAGAGUCUCUGAAAUGCCAUUUCCUGGACUUUGGGGAAGAUUUGACAGAUUUCUGAUUGUCAGAAUACAGCGUUUUUAGUAUGUGGAAAUUUAGAAUUCAGUAGUACUAAAUGGACGAAGGUGUAUUUAAUUAACAAUAUAUUGGAUAAGUUGCAGGAAAGUAUGGGUAAUAUCUUCAUUCUUUGCAGUUUGUCAUGGAUUAAAUAAUAAAGGUCUGCAUGAUUUUAAAAAAUGAAUGAUUAUUAGCAAAUUACUGGGGGGGCUGCAGCCCCCCACCCCGGGCGCGGUUGCUACGGUCCUGGAGAGGGUCUGGGGUUUUCUCCCCCAGAAAAUUUUUGUAUUUUUCUACCCCUAUGACUGCAAUUCCCUGCAUUUUCUGAAACAGAUUUUUGGAUAUACAGCAUUACAUUAUGCUGUAGAUAGACUGAACCUGCAGUUAAGUACUUGCAUAGUAUGUUUAUGUAGAUACCACAACUUGGCAGUCACUUAGGGAGCCAGCUUGAUAAACUUAGAGUUCCCGACUCCCACGAAGCGCCACCAUGGUUGGCACAGAGUGGAAAAAUUUUGAAAAUUUUGCGUCUCUAAAUCAUCGGAAAUGGCAUUUUCAAAGUCUUCUAUACGUCUUUUGUUUGGCCCUUUCAUUAAUUCGUUCAUUAUGAUUUGUGAGUCUAUGAUGAUAUCCGCGAGUCAGGAUGGAUUAUUACGAGAAAUGUUAUCAAAAUAUCGAUUACAGAUAUUUGAUUAUAUGUAUAUAUGAUUUCAAAUACUUCUAGUAUCGAAAUCAAAUUGUUUUUUUUUGGUGGGGGCCAAAAUUAUCCCCCCCUUAUAAAACACAUGGUUGAGGGCCUGUUGCCCCCUGCGGUCACUAACUUGUCCAACAACUCAAACUCUAUAGGGUCUGGGAAAUGCAAUCCACUGCCUGGGAAAUGUUUAAAAUCUAAUAAGGUAUUUAUUAAACAUAAAAGACAGGACAUAAGAUUCACAAAGCAAAUUUCAGUUACUAGAAUAUCAAACCUCCCUUCUAAAUUCAAUGUUUUGCUUAUAUUUUAGAGAAAAGGGACUUUGACUGGGGGGGCCAAAAUGGUUGAGUGGGGGGGCCACCAUGGGGGCUGGGGGGGCUUUGGCCCCCCCAGUUAUAUAGUUAAAAAAUGCCCUGAGUAGGACAAAGCUUGAAAAUGAUGCUUCUUCCACGUCUGUAGACUUGUGUAUAUCACGAUUUUCUAAAUGUUCUGUUGUUGCUAUUUGUUCGUGGAUACAUGGAUAUAUAUAUAUGGGGAAAAACAAAUUUAAAUUCACGAAGAACGUACACUUCACCAUUAGAAACAAGCCCAUGAAUUUUUAACGGUAAUAAUGUCCAAAUGAAAAUAUAUUUGUGCUUUUCUAGUAUCUAAUGGAGCAAUAAUAGUGAACCGGACUAUCACCAUGGCCACAAAUACCACAAUGACUCCUCCCACGGUCGAAACUGAAUCUGAAAUUAUCACUACGUCUGCGUUGACAUGCAAACACAUGAAUGGAACCUGUGAAAGUGAAUGUAAAUGUGGCAGCCAAGAGGACCAUGGGCAACUUAAUUGUCCUCCAAACCUCACCUGCUGUCAACAUCUUGAUUAAUGGAGCUCUUACUAUUUGUUCUUCUAUUAAAUCUCGUGAUUGUGACUUUUGCAUGUUCGAAUGACGACUUAGCAGCUAAUUAACCUAAAAAGUCAAGCGUUUAGACAAUGUUCUGUGUUCAUAAAUAAAAUAGGUUAAAUAGGAUAAAAAUAUGUUUAGUUGAUUUUUUUAAUCCUUAGUAGAAAGUAGUUUUUCUAUGCUGGGCAUAAUUUAUUUUAGUGACUUUUAAAUUAAAUGUUUCCUUUCUUUGGA